rnacentral:lncRNA from 1 species
GCCGCAAUUUUUGCUUUUUCUAAACAUGCAUCAUUUUUACAGAUUAAUCAGUCUGUCAUAUUGUUAGAUUGUUACACUCCGCAAUAUUGUUUCCACUUAAUUGGGCAGCCUUACUUUGUUCUUAUUUGCAGGAAACUCCCAUUUUAUCACUAUUAUAAAUAUCCACUAACCUUACAACAUCAUCCUUCUUUAAUAAUCGUACCAAGAUAUCCCUUGUGAUAUUGCACAUUUGCCCAAGAUAUCCCUUGUGAUAUUACACAUUUGCCCAGGAUAACCACCAGGAAAAUUGCACAUAGUGUAGGUUUGCCAGCGACACACAUUGUCAUCCAUUCAUUACAAUGCCCAAUGUCUCCUUGCAACAACCAAGACAACCAGAAAGAAUGCAUUGUGUUCCACAUCAUUUCACU